UGGGGAAUCUUGCGCAAUGGGCGAAAGCCUGACGCAGCAACGCCGCGUGAGCGAAGACGGCCUUCGGGUUGUAAAGCUCUGUCAGGAGGGACGAAGCCACUCGGGUGAAUAGCCCAGAGGGUGACGGUACCUCCAGAGGAAGCCCCGGCUAACUACGUGCCAGCAGCCGCGGUAAUACGUAGGGGGCGAGCGUUGUCCGGAAUCAUUGGGCGUAAAGCGCGUGUAGGCGGCCAUCCAAGUCCGAUGUGAAAGCUCAGGGCUCAACCCUGAGUCUGCAUUGGAAACUGGAUGGCUAGAGUCCGGAAGAGGAGACUGGAAUUCCUGGUGUAGCGGUGAAAUGCGCAGAUAUCAGGAAGAACACCGGUGGCGAAGGCGGGUCUCUGUGACGGUACUGACGCUGAGACGCGAAAGCGUGGGGAGCAAACA
rnacentral:rRNA from 1 species